AGUUCAUGUUUAUAUCCAGAUUCCAGCGUCUUUUCCCUUUUUAGUUGGCCUUUCGUAAGCCAUGAGUCAUGGGUUCCAAAAGAAAUCACGAAAACAAAGUUUGAGAAGUGAAGAUCUGUCCUAAGAGUCGCAAGCACUAUCGAUAUACCAUUAAUAGGGAGUGCGGAGGAGCUUUUCUUAGUAAACUAGUGUUAUCCAUCAUCCACCAUGGGGUGAUUAAACCCACUCCCCACAUGUUUGACAGCACGAAUAUGCGGCUGCCACAGCAGCGGGCCGAUUAUUAUUGGUCUCUUGGUGGAAUAGGUAUUGUUGGAGAUAGGCGAGAUAAAAGAGUAAGAGAAACAUUCAUAAAGCCGAUAUAGGAUGUAGUAUCAAAUUCCCAAC
rnacentral:sRNA from 1 species